CUUGCCCUUUCCUAGUGCUGGAGGUCGGGCAGAGAUGCUGACUCAGCGGGCUUUCUGCCUUGUGCUCGAUUUCCCAUCUGCAGACCGAUAGCUGGGAUGGGACGAACGUGACCGUUGCUGGGGCUUACAGGGAAGGGCAGGAGGGCCUUGCAUAGGAGCAGCCCUGCUCAGAAGGGCUGUUUCCCCGGCUGGCCUGGCUGCAUCUUCUUCCCAUCCUCUUUGAAGGAAGGCAUUUAGCAUCACCUUACCGUCUCCCAAAAACGCACUAUGUGCAAUGCGAACCAGGAGAUCGCGUGCAAUUUCCUGGUCUCCCAGCAGAUCAGGCCUGGCUGUUGUUUGGACUAGUGACUAGGCGCAGCCCCAAAAGCCCCGGCGAUUUGUCUAAACCUUAUUACCCAUGUCCUUGAGAAGCACUGCCUCCCAAAGAUGCCACCUCCCUGAUGGGAAGGGUUCCAACUAAUCCAAUGUCCCGCUUGCUUUCUCAAGGGACGGACCGAGAGGCUGCGCACAAGGAGGCGUUUUUGGAAGGAAGCAGUGGCUCCCUGCCAGCCUCUGCUGAAGAAACAGAGGCGAUGCAAGCCAACGGCAUGCCAGGGCUGUCAAAGGCCGGAGGAGACCACCAUGGCAGCGUAUAUGAAUUUUUCCGCACAGACUCAGGUGUGGCUGGCGAGACAAUCCCAAGCGUUUCCAACCCCCAGAGCACCGCAAGUUUUUUCUGUCCCCAAGAUGUGCGAAGACGCUGUAUGAUAGGCACAGCAGCAGUCGUGAUUUCCGUGCCACUUGCAAUAGCAUUGUGCUAUGUCAUGAUCCGACGGCGGAGAAA